GAUGAACGCUGGCGGCGUGCUUAACACAUGCAAGUCGAACGGGAAUUAUUUUAUUGAAACUUCGGUCGAUUUAAUUUAAUUCUAGUGGCGGACGGGUGAGUAACGCGUGGGUAACCUGCCUUAUACAGGGGGAUAACAGUCAGAAAUGGCUGCUAGUACCGCAUAAGCGCACAGAGCUGCAUGGCUCAGUGUGAAAAACUCCGGUGGUAUAAGAUGGACCCGCGUUGGAUUAGCUGGUUGGUGGGGUAACGGCCCACCAAGGCGACGAUCCAUAGCCGGCCUGAGAGGGUGAACGGCCACAUUGGGACUGAGACACGGCCCAGACUCCUACGGGAGGCAGCAGUGGGGAAUAUUGCACAAUGGGGGAAACCCUGAUGCAGCGACGCCGCGUGAAGGAAGAAGUAUCUCGGUAUGUAAACUUCUAUCAGCAGGGAAGAUAGUGACGGUACCUGACUAAGAAGCCCCGGCUAACUACGUG
rnacentral:rRNA from 1 species